CUGUUUUCCACUGUGAAAGCAAAAGAAGCAAGAGUUGCCCCCCAGGAAUGAGGACAUUUAGGGGCACACACUUAGGGGAACACAGUUCAUCUGAGAAGUCACAUCUGGUUGAGGGAGGCGUAGAGAUGUCAGAUGCCUGUCUCCUGGUUCCAAAUUCAAGUUGAUUGAAGUGUCUGUCACCUGCCCUUUAUCCAACCUGAGGGAUCGCUGGGCACUGCCCUCCAGCCAUCCACAGGAGUUGACCGGGUGACAACAGAUGCGUUCACACAUCUGGGUGUUCACCAGGCUGUCCUGCACCUCCCAUGACUAAUAGACACACCGAGCUUCUGUCCCAGGCUAAGCGUCCUGUCAGGCCCUGGCAGGGGCCCCGUGCUGUCUCACAUACCAGCUGCAGAGCCAGUCUCCCCAGGAAC